rnacentral:rRNA from 1 species
AGCAGUAGCCACGGUAAAACGUAUGUCACAAGCGUUAUCCGGAUUUAUUGGGCGUAAAGCGCGUCUAGGUGGUUAUGUAAGUCUGAUGUGAAAAUGCAGGGCCCAACUCUGUAAUGCGUUGGAAACUGUGUAACUAGAGUACUGGAGAGGUAAGCGGAACUACAAGUGUAGAGGUGAAAUUCGUAGAUAUUUGUAGGAAUGCCGAUGGGGAAGCCAGCUUACUGGACAGAUACUGACGCUGAAGCGCGAAAGCGUGGGUAGCAAACAGGAUUAGAUACCCCUGUAGUCCCUGUCUCUUAUACC